rnacentral:rRNA from 1 species
AUUGAACGCUGGCGGCAGGCCUAACACAUGCAAGUCGAGCGGAUGAAGGGAGCUUGCUCCUGGAUUCAGCGGCGGACGGGUGAGUAAUGCCUAGGAAUCUGCCUGGUAGUGGGGGAUAACGUCCGGAAACGGGCGCUAAUACCGCAUACGUCCUGAGGGAGAAAGUGGGGGAUCUUCGGACCUCACGCUAUCAGAUGAGCCUAGGUCGGAUUAGCUAGUUGGUGGGGUAAAGGCCUACCAAGGCGACGAUCCGUAACUGGUCUGAGAGGAUGAUCAGUCACACUGGAACUGAGACACGGUCCAGACUCCUACGGGAGGCAGCAGUGGGGAAUAUUGGACAAUGGGCGAAAGCCUGAUCCAGCAAUGCCGCGUGUGUGAAGAAGGUCUUCGGAUUGUAAAGCACUUUAAGUUGGGAGGAAGGGCAGUAAGUUAAUACCUUGCUGUUUUGACGGUACCGAAAGAAUAAGCACCGGCUAACUUCGUG